AUACUCUGGUUUCUCUUCAGAUCGCAUAAAUCUUUUGCCUUUUACUAAAGAUUUCCGUGGAGAGAAGUAAGAUGUGGAAAGCCAACCGAAUUAUGGAAUCCAUAAGAUUGGAUUU